rnacentral:rRNA from 1 species
ACGUGCCAGCAGCCGCGGUAAGACGUAGGACGCGAGCGUUAUCCGGAUUUACUGGGCGUAAAGCGUGUGUAGGCGGCGUGACAAGUUGGGCGUGAAAGCCCCGUGCUCAACGCGGGGAGGCCGCACAAUACUGUCAGGCUAGAGGGCAUCAGAGGGGUGUGGAAUUCCCGGAGUAGCGGUAAAAUGCGCAGAUAUCGGGAGGAACACCGGUGGCGAAAGCGGCACCCUGGGGUGCACCUGACGCUGAGAGACGACAGCUAGGGGAGCGAACAGGAUUAGAGACCCUGGUAGUCCUAGCCGUAAACGAUGGAUGCUAGGUGUGGGAGUGAAGAACUUCUGUGCCGCAGCGAACGCGAUAAGCAUCCCGCCUGGGGAGUACGGCCGCAAGGUUAAAACUCAAACGAAUUGACGGGGACCCGCACAAGCAGCGGAGCGUGUGGUUUAAUUCGAUGCUACACGAAGAACCUUACCUGGGAUUGACAUAUGGGUGGUAGUGAGCCGAAAGGCAAGCGACCCUUCGGGGAGCCUAUACAGGUGCUGCAUGGCUGUCGUCAGCUCGUGCCGUGAGGUGUCGGGUUAAGUCCCGUAACGAGCGCAACCCCUGUCCUUAGUUACAAGUGUCUAAGGGGACUGCCGGCGGGAAGCCGGAGGAAGGUGGGGAUGACGUCAAGUCAGCAUGGCCCUUAUAUCCAGGGCGACACACACGCUACAAUGGUCGGUACAGAGGGCAGCGAAGCCGCGAGGUGGAGCGAAACCCAGAAAGCCGGUCGUAGUUCGGAUUGCAGGCUGCAACUCGCCUGCAUGAAGUUGG